UUUAUUAUGUAUGUAAUACUCAUGUGUAAUAUAUAUAUAUAUAUAUAUUGAACAUAAAUUGAGAAAACCAUUAAUACAUAAAUGCAGAAAACCAUUACAUAAGCCAUUUACCAGUUACAUUUUCCAUGUAAAUGUUUAAUAUAGUAGCUAUGUGAUUACAGUACUUUGCAUUCAUAGCACUGAAUCAAAUUUCAUCACAUUAUUU